rfam:Myotis lucifugus cont2.3178, whole genome shotgun sequence.
GGUGGUUCUCAAGUGACACACCCCGGAAUCAGUCUCCCUCCUCUCUGGUUGUGGGUGCGUCACCCGAAAACUGCA